AGUUGAUUCCAACGACGUUCUGUACGGCGGCGAUCCGCAACUGCUGGCCGAAAUCAACUCACUGGCCGAUGACGUCAUCAAAACUGUGACGUCACAUCUUGUCAGCCAAUCGCCACUGAGCCGGGCUCAGGUUUGCCAGGCUGCUGACUGCUGCAUCUUCCUGCUGAGAUCCGCUGAUCAGCAGUGCCGCCCGAUCAGCUCAGCGGUGGUUCAGCUGCGCCGGCUCUGCGACAACGCUGACGGCCUGCCGCCCCACUAUCAGGCUGCGUUGAGGUCUGCUGUUGCUGAUUCCUCGUCGAAGUUCUGAUGAAGAUCGAGCGUUUUCCUUCGCUGGGAAAUCAGUUCAACCAUCGGUGAUUCCAUCAGUCGACAUUUUUCUACCCGUGCAACAAGUGUUUGGGUGGCAUCGCUGCCCACUUCCCUGACGGAUAGCACUGCUGCCCCAUUUCUCCAAGACCGCCAACAAAUCGGCGUCCCUCCACCCAUCUCCAAUGACAAACGGUCGUUCCCUCUCACCCUAAUCCACAUCUGCGCGCGCUGUCCGAACUCGGGCGGACAGAUGUUCGCCCUGCCCCGGCCGUGUAGUGAUUCCAGUGAGCCGGGACUCUGCGCCAUGGCCAGUCGUUCCAGCGACCGAGUGGCCGGCGAUAGGCGGUGCUUUUCCUCGCCGGUUUUCCUCUCGCCGAUUCGCUAGUGAUAGGGAUGAGAAAUGGGUCGCCGCUUUGUAUCGCGAAUUGUGAGUUCCACGUACUUGAAUGAUAUCAGGGGUCGGUAGAAUUGGAGAAUCGAAUAGCCUUUAUACGCCUUCUAGUGAGUAUGAUAUCUUGUGAUAAGAACGUUGCAAUUUACCUUAUAUGUAUGCCACCUGC